AACGAACGCUGGCGGCAGGCUUAACACAUGCAAGUCGAACGCCCCGCAAGGGGAGUGGCAGACGGGUGAGUAACGCGUGGGAACAUACCCUUUCCUGCGGAAUAGCUCCGGGAAACUGGAAUUAAUACCGCAUACGCCCUACGGGGGAAAGAUUUAUCGGGGAAGGAUUGGCCCGCGUUGGAUUAGCUAGUUGGUGGGGUAAAGGCCUACCAAGGCGACGAUCCAUAGCUGGUCUGAGAGGAUGAUCAGCCACAUUGGGACUGAGACACGGCCCAAACUCAACGGGGAGGGAGCAGGGGGGAAUUUUGAAAAGGGGGCGAAAGCUGGACCCACCCAUGCCGGGUGAGGAAAAAGGGCUUGGGGGUUGAAAAGCUCUUUCACAGAUGAAGAAAAGAAGGGAGGGGGGAAAAAAGCCCCGGGCAAAUUUGGGC
rnacentral:rRNA from 1 species